rnacentral:rRNA from 1 species
UUUAUCCUACGGGGCGCAGCAGUGAGGAAUAUUGGUCAAUGGGCGGGAGCCUGAACCAGCCAAGUCGCGUGAGGGAAGAAGGUACUGAGUAUUGUAAACCUCUUUUGCCAGGGGACAAAGGCGGCCACGGGUGGCCGUAAGAGGGUACCUGGAGAAAAAGCAUCGGCUAACUCCGUGCCAGCAGCCGCGGUAAUACGGAGGAUCCGAGCGUUAUCCGGAUUUAUUGGGUUUAAAGGGAGCGUAGGUGGAUUGUUAAGUCAGUUGUGAAAGUUUGCGGCUCAACCGUAAAAUUGCAGUUGAAACUG